UACAAGCAGACCCCAAGAGAGGCCUCUGAGGGGCAGGGAGGGUCCAGUGGACCCCAAACCCAGCUCACACCAGCUCCAAAGUCCAGCCAUCCCCCACCCCUGCUACAGUCCACACCAACCCAGGCUGGCAGGGGCCCCUCAGCAGCCUCGAGGCAUCCACUCCAGUCCUUCCCCAAGUUGUUCUGUAGUUUUAUCAUCUUAAGUAUUUUUUUUCCUGAUAACAUAAGUAGAAUGGGCUCAUUAUUAAAAAAUAUUACAGGAGUUCCUGUUGUGUCUCAGUGGGUUAAGGACCUGGCUAGUAUCCAUGAGGAUGUGGGUUCGAUCUCUGGCCUCGCUCAGCAGGUGAAGGAUCUGGCAUUGCCGUGAGCUGUGGUGUAUGUCACAGACGUGGCUUGGCUCUGGCAUUGCUGUGGCUGUGGUGUAGGCUGGUAGCUGCAGCUUCAAUUCGACCCUAAGCUUGGGAACUUCCAUAUGCUGAAGGGGCGGCCCUUAAAAACAAACAAACAAACAAACAAAACACAAACAUGUCUAAAGUAAAGGUGAAAGCCAUCUCAGUCCUGAUAGAUUGUAUGAGUACACAGCAUGUACUCCUCUGCAACUUGCUUCUUCAAGAAGAUUUCUUGGAAACCAAAGCCCAUCAAGUCAUCUCCAUGGGUCAACCACUCCCAAGGCUCUGCACUGCUCUCAGAUAAAGAACACUCCUGCCCUCAGCUAUGAAGCCCUGGGGGCCUCUCCUGUCUGGUCCAGCACCUUCUUACUUCAGCCUCACUGCCUCUCUUUCAGGCCCUUGUCCUCCCUCUCUCCCUCCAUACCUCCCUCCUUCUGUCCCCGCCUUUACACUAAGCUUGUCCCAUCUGUGUCCCCACCUGGAAUACUAAUGCACCUGGUGAACAUCUGUUCUUUCAGGUCCCAAGUUUCUUCUUCAGGAAGGGCCUUUUCUGAUCUCCCUGCCCACAGAAAGCCCUGCUCUCUCCCAUCACUGCUGCAAUUAUAGAAUUAUGUGUAAUUGCUUGACGAUCUUGUUCCUCGACUAAUUCAAGGAGGGCAGAGAUCUCACUCACUUGCUGCUGUCUCCCAGUGUCUGGCACAUUGUAGGUGACCAAUAAACACUUGUUGAAUAAAUGGACAUGACAAGUAUUAAUUUGCCAAUUGCUCAUGUGGGCCCUGCACAAUGGCAGGUAUGGGGGCUAGUCAGUGGAACAGUAAGAUAAAGGCAGGUUCUUAAAGACUGGGGAGGGGUAUACAUCGAUGAAGCAGAGGCAAGGGUUUGGAUAAGUGCUAGAAUGUCAUUUCAAAGGGCUUCAACCAUGUGGGUUUCAAGGUCUCUCUGUGAUAUGGUUAAGUCAUUGCCUGAUUGUCUUCUCUACUUUUGCUGUACAAACAAGCCCCUGGAAAGAGGGGCCUUUGUUUCUGCAACAGUAUGUGUUAAAAAGACGAUGGAUGAUGGAUGUACAGACAAAUGGAAGGAUGGAUGGAUGAGUGGAUGGAUGGAUGGAGGGAGGGAUGGAUGAAUGAUGAAUGGACAUAUGGAUGAAUCAAAGAGCUAAAAGAGGCCAGUAGGGCCUCAGAAAUCCCUAUCUACCCUGAUUUUUAAAAUGAGGAACCCGAAGUCUAGAGAAGUGAAUUACAUCUUUCAUCACUUCCUCUCUUUGAGAACUCCUGUUGAUUUCCUCUUUAGCCUAUAAACAUCUUGAAAUAGCCUCCAACACAAACAAAACAAAGCACCUCUGUCCCCCUUCCCUACAAUCUUUCCCCUGGGGUAGGACUCUUCUAUUUCCUUUAACUGCCAAACUUCUUGAAAGACUUGUAAACUCACCCCCUAGACUUCCUCAUCUCCCACCACCCCUUGACCUCUCAACCUCUGCCUUCCAUCCACAUCACCAUGGCAACUGCUCUGAAGUUGCUACUCACCAGAGACCUUCUAGGCCUUGAGCUCUUCCUGGGCUUCAGGUAGUGCUUGGCAUUGUCACCAGUUCUUCCUCCUGAAACCCUAAUGCCCUGCUCUGUCGAUGGGGUGGGUGUCUCUACCUGUCCAGAAAACUGCUCUCUUCCUGAACCCUGAAUGGCGUCUCUUUCUCCCAGACCCCUUUGCCACAGAUUUCAGCUCUUUCUUUGCUCUCAUUCUGUAGUUCUCAACAAUUUUUGGGUUCUUUCUGUGUACCAGGCACCAGCUAGCCUCUUAGCUGUGUCACUUCCUGUAAUCCUCACAUCUGCGCUUUGAUGCAGGAAUAUUAGUUUCAUCUGCACUUUACAGAUGGUGAAGUGGAGACCCAGUGAGGAUGUAUAAAUUGUGCGAUACCAUACCAUUGGUAAGUGGUAUCUUGAAUUCAGCUGAGGUCUUACUAUUUCCAAGUGUAUGCCCUCAGCAACAAAGCCACACCUUUCUCUUAUCUGUCUCACUCACACCCUGGCCUCAACUCUCUUCUUCUUCUUCUUUUUUCUUUUUAAUUUUUUACUUUUUUUUUUUUUUUUGCUUUUUAGGGCCACACUUGUGGUGUAUGGAAGGGCCCGGGUUAGGGUUCAAAUUGGAGCUACAGCUGCCGGCCUACGCCACAGCCACAGCAAUGCCAGAUCUGAGCAGUGUCUGCAACCUACACCACAGCUCAUGGCAAUGCCAGAUCCUUAACUCACUGAGUGAGGCCAGAGAUUAAACCCACAUCCUGAUGGAUACCAGUUGGGUUCAUAACCUGCUGAGCCACAAUGGGAAUGCCCUCAUCUCUUUUCUUAUAACUCCCUAGUUAAUAUUUUCAUAAACGACCUCCCUUGAAAGGCCUGCUGAGAUUUUUUCCUUAGAUGUCCUCCAAAAUCUCAAAGCUGGAGUCCUCAGAUCUCUUGCCAGGCAUCUCACCAGUCCUGUGAGCAAAUGCCUGCAGUGGCUCCCAUUGCCCAUUGAUCUAGGGACAAACUCUUGCCAGACACUCCCAGGACCCCCACCCCUGCCCUCCCUGUCCUCCUCCAAUCUCCUCUGUCAUUCUCUCUCUGAAAGGGUCUGCUGUGUGCCCUGCCCCCAGAGGACCUUCCAUGCCCUUGACCUUCCUUCAUGCCCCACUGAGACCACCAGAAGUCCUUUGUAUCUAGAAAACAGACUAGCAGGAAAUGCACUAAACAUCAGGAGUGGUUACCUCCGGAUGAGUGGGAUUCCAGGUGAUUUAUUUUCACAUCUAUCCAGUGUUUUCCAAAUUUCCAAUAAGGAAUAUGUUUUACUUUAUGAUGAGUAAAGAACUUGUUCAAAUAAUUUCAGAAAAGAAGCUUAUUCGCCCACCCUGCCUUUUUUCUCUUUAAGACCCUUCUGCAACUUUGUUCCCCUGAGGCCUCCCUCAAGGUCACAGGUGGGGCGCCUCCCCUCCUGAGAGCCAGGUGUUUGCCUGUGCAGUGUGACCCCCCUGCCCUCGUCCCCUGUGGUCCCCUCCCUAGUGUCCUGGGUGUGUCAGGCACCCCAGAAAUGCAGGCAGGACAGAGUUCAGAUUGAUGUAAUCACAGGAGUGUUCAUCAAAGGAGCAAAAGACUGGGAACACUUUAGAUGUCUAUCAAUAGGGGCCUUUGAUACGAGUGGACUCUAAAGUAAACUAUGGACUUUCGGUGUGUAUGAUGUUAAAGCAGGUUCAUCCUUGGUAACAAAUGUACCACUCUGUGACUAGUGGCUGAUGUUGACAAUAGGAGAAGCUAUGCACAUGAGAGGGAACAGGGUAUAUAGGAAAUCUCUGUACCUUUCUCUCAAUUUUGUUGUGGAGCCUAAAACUGCCCUAAAAAAUUAAAUCUUUUAAAAACUUAAAAAAGUUCUUGGUAGUUUAGGGGCUUGUUUACAGUCACUAGAAAGGAAGACAAAGAUUCCCAGCUAUCAAUAUGAACCAAUUUCUAAAAUGCAUCAUUAAAAAUAAGGGAGUUCCCAUCAUGGCUCAGCAGUUAAUGAACUCGACUAGUAUCCAUGCGGACGCAGGUUCGAGUCCUGGCCUUUCUCAGUGGGUUAGGGAUCUGGCAUUGCUGUGAGCUAUGUUAUAGGUCAAAGAUAUGGCUCAGAUCCCGCAUUGCUGUGGCCAUGGCCUAGGCCGGUGGCUACAGCUUUGAUUCAAUCCCUAACCGGGGAACUUCCAUAUGCCAAGGGUGUGGCC
rnacentral:lncRNA from 1 species